rnacentral:rRNA from 1 species
GUGUACACAAGAUAGAGCUCUAAUCAAGUCUUUAUAAACUUUACUAUUAAAUCCACCUUCAAAAGUUUUUUCUUUACUUUAUCCAUAUUAUUCUUUUAAUUGUAACCCACCUCUAUCUUUUACAUAAGCUGCACCUUUACUUGAAGUCCUUGAAUUUCUCAUGCGCGAAAGUUUUCUAAAGAAACUAACUGACAACAGCGGUAUACAAACUGGAUUCUAAUAAAAGUAAGGUUGAUCGUGGCUCAUCGUUUACAGGGCAGGUUCCUCUAAGUGGCUAUCUUGCCGCCAAAUCCGUUAAAUUUCAUUAAUAAUACUAUUCCAAAAAUUUUUAAUUAUGGGUA